UGUGUGUAUAGCUUGUGGUGGCAUAUACAUUUUAUGCAAAUGAAUAAUCUCUAGAAAGAUUUCCUAUUCACUUAAAAUAUAUCCCAAACUACUUUGUUCCAGCCACUGAAAACAGAAAAUAAACAAGAGAUGUUUCUAGUAAUCUACUUCUGGAGAUUGCCACACAGGAAUUUUUUUAAGGCUUCCAUUUAUAACUUUUCAAGAUUUCAGCUCCAUCCCUAAAAGCCGAACUCCAUUCACAUCAGACAGUAUUUUGUAUGUGAGCUCCAUGAUUAUGCGGAAGCCUUGCUGAAGGGAACAGAGGUUACCUUGACAUGACCUUAAGUGAGUCACUUUUCCUCUCUCUGGUUCCAUUCUGUCAGUGAUCAAAUUAAACCAGUUAACCUGCUCCAAGACGUGAUCGUGAGGAGUUGAUGUGAGAACUGUGGGUAAUCCUGAGGAGAAAACUCAG
rnacentral:lncRNA from 1 species